rnacentral:rRNA from 1 species
GACGAACGCUAGCGGCGUGCUUAACACAUGCAAGUCGAGCGGUAAGGCCCUUCGGGGUACACGAGCGGCGAACGGGUGAGUAACACGUGGGUGAUCUGCCUCGCACUCUGGGAUAAGCCUGGGAAACUGGGUCUAAUACCGGAUAUGAGCAGCCUCUGCAUGGGGUCUGUUGGAAAGGUUUACUGGUGCGAGAUGGGCCCGCGGCCUAUCAGCUUGUUGGUGGGGUAACGGCCCACCAAGGCGACGACGGGUAGCCGACCUGAGAGGGUGACCGGCCACACUGGGACUGAGACACGGCCCAGACUCCUACGGGAGGCAGCAGUGGGGAAUAUUGCACAAUGGGCGAAAGCCUGAUGCAGCGACGCCGCGUGAGGGAUGACGGCCUUCGGGUUGUAAACCUCUUUUGACAGGGACGAAGCGCAAGUGACGGUACCUGUAGAAGAAGCACCGGCCAACUACGUGC